GACGAACGCUGGCGGCGUGCCUAAUACAUGCAAGUUGAGCGCUGAAGGUUGGUACUUGUACCGACUGGAUGAGCAGCGAACGGGUGAGUAACGCGUGGGGAAUCUGCCUUUGAGCGGGGGACAACAUUGGGAAACGAAUGCUAAUACCGCAUAACAACUUUAAACACAAGUUUUAAGUUUGAAAGAUGCAAUUGCAUCACUCAAAGAUGAUCCCGCGUUGUAUUAGCUAGUUGGGGAGGUAAAGGCUCACCAAGGCGAUGAUACAUAGCCGACCCGAGAGGGUGAUCGGCCACAUUGGGACUGAGACACGGCCCAAACUCCUACGGGAGGCAGCAGUAGGGAAUCUUCGGCAAUGGACGAAAGUCUGACCGAGCAACGCCGCGUGAGUGAAGAAGGUUUUCGGAUCGUAAAACUCUGUUGGUAGAGAAGAACGUUGGUGAGAGUGGAAAGCUCAUCAAGUGACGGUAACUACCCAGAAAGGGACGGCUAACUACGUGCCAGCCGCCGCCGUAA
rnacentral:rRNA from 1 species